rnacentral:rRNA from 1 species
GAUGAACGCUGGCGGCGUGCCUAAUACAUGCAAGUAGAACGCUGAAGCUUGGUGCUUGUACCGAGCGGAUGAGUUGCGAACGGGUGAGUAACGCGUAGGUAACCUGCCUCUUAGCGGGGGAUAACUAUUGGAAACGAUUGCUAAUACCGCAUAAAAACCGUUAUCACAUGAUAUUGGUUUGAAAGAUGCAAAUGCAUCACUCAGAGAUGGACCUGCGUUGUAUUAGCUAGUUGGUGAGGUAACGGCUCACCAAGGCGACGAUACAUAGCCGACCUGAGAGGGUGAUCGGCCACACUGGGACUGAGACACGGCCCAGACUCCUACGGGAGGCAGCAGUAGGGAAUCUUCGGCAAUGGGGGAAAGCCUGACCGAGCAACGCCGCGUGAGUGAAGAAGGUUUUCGGAUCGUAAAGCUCUGUUGUAAGAGAAGAACGAGUGUGAGAGUGGAAAGUUCACACUGUGACGGUAACUAACCAGAAAGGGACGGCUAACUACGUG